CAUUUUCACGUCAUGCUCUUCAUCCACAUGUGUUCAUACACUCAAAAUUGUAAAUAAACACAGAAUAUUAAAUUCCAAAGACAAAAUUUAAAAGUUAAUCUACACUUUGUAACAUAUAUAAAAAGUAUUUAACUUUUAAUCAAUUAAGCUAAUAUGACUCGUAAAUUACGAGCCGUAAUUUGAAUUCCAAUUUGGUUUAAAGACCAUAAAACUAUCAUGGAGCGUGAUGACCUAGUACUCGACAUAAAGUAUUCGCCAAAUCGUAGACAUGGCGAUGACGACGACGAUUUAAAAAUCCAUCCCGGAAACAUAAAGCAGGAACCUUCCCACAUUCUGGGAGGAUUUAUAUGGCCGGGUCCAAUAAAUAUUGACGAGCCUCCAAAUUUGUGUGAUAAUCUUAACGCUGACCAACUUAUCAAGACUGAACCAAUCGGAUAUCAUGACGUGGACAUAAGCUCGCAGAAUAACAAUCGUUUACCCGAGGAUAUAAAUAGUUUAGAAGAACAGGAAGUAUUCAACCUAACAGCGUCUCCCUGGCAUCCAAACCCCACUAGUGUCUCCUCUGUGGUAAAGCCUUUCGUCGAAGUUUAGAACUCAUCAGCCAUUUUAGAACACACGGCCCCCGCCCAAAAGUGCCCCAGUGCCCCCACUGUCCGGCAAGUUUUACGACGAGAUUUAGUUUAAAGAGACACAUAUCUAAGCUCCACCCGACUGCUGGAAAUGGGUCGAUGAGCAUACAGACUUUUAAAACUCAAAAAUUAAUCGAAAAACGACCCGACCCCGUCGUUAAGGAAAUCGAUUCGGACGAUGAACGAUUCUUGGACGAAUUGGAACGUGAACAGGAGAAGAAGUCCGUCGGAAAUAUUAAAACUGAUGAAACAAAGGAAAUGUGUAGUAAUUCUUGUCCCAUUUUUAUCAAGCCUGAACCAAUCGACGCUGAUACAUAAUUCCAACACCUCGUCUUCCCAGUUGAAUUUUCUCCCCUUGGAGGAUAAAACAUCUUACGAAUUGGAAAAAAUUGAGAGAGAACGAGUGUAGAACAAAGAAAUAUCCAUAACUGACCUUCGGAAACAUUGUUAUUAGGAUUGUAUUGUCACCAAACGCGGUUAUAAUCCCCGAAUUCACAAAUGUCUCAGGAUUGUUGAAAUUCCAAUCUUCACUAUUACUCAAAUUUUCCCAAGUGUACAUACAGGGUGGUUUAAAUACACAUUUACUUAUUACUUUUAAUUUAUACUAGCUAAAUUAAUUAAUCAAUAGUACAAAUAUGUAUAUGCACGCUCUUAAAAUAUUGUUACUCCUUUGCACUCUGAAUUCAAAAUUAAGCAAGCUACAUGCACUAAAUCCAGAGUAACGCUAACUUGAUAAAGCGUAAAGUUUACGCAGGGUUUUGUAUAACUUACUUAAUUUAUCACUAAGGGUGCAUUUACUUUUCAAAAGGGUGACAUUAUUUUUAAGAGUGCAUCCAUUUCAGUCAGAUACACACGUAUUUAUGUACAAAUAUUCAGUUUUCUUACGUGUCCAUCAUACCAUUAAACGCAGGAAAUAAACCGUCGCAAACGCGCAUACGGAAGUAGCUUCA